rnacentral:lncRNA from 1 species
CAUUUGUGUAUUUUUAUCAUUUUGAUAGGUGAUUUGACUGGAAGCAAAGCCAAUUUUACAAGAACUACAUUCUUGGAACAAGAUCAAAAAUCUUUAUUUCGCAACAGAGUAGUUGAACUAUUGUGAUCUGUUAUUUCUUGUAUUUUGAAUGUAAAAUCAUGUAGGAUUUAAUGUUUCAAGAUAUUGUAAAAUUAAGUAGUAGAUUCUAUUGUUUCCAUUAAAUGGUGAUCAAACAAGAAUGAAGAAAAUGCAGUCAGAAAUCAAUAAUGUAAAUAAUGCCACAGUUAGAAGUAGAGAAAAUGGACAACCACCAUAGGAUUUAGAAAGAAACUGCAGCCAUCAACUAGAAGACAUCUAUAAUCGCGAAUUGAGAAAUACUAAUAAUUUUAGUAUUAAGUUAUAAUAGCAAGUAAAUUGUUUAUAGAAUGAAAAUAUUUUUUAUAAAGA